ACGCUGGCGGCGUGCCUAAUACAUGCAAGUAGAACGCUGAAGGAGGAGCUUGCUUCUCUGGAUGAGUUGCGAACGGGUGAGUAACGCGUAGGUAACCUGCCUGGUAGCGGGGGAUAACUAUUGGAAACGAUAGCUAAUACCGCAUAACAGUAGAUGUUGCAUGACAUUUGCUUAAAAGGUGCAAUUGCAUCACUACCAGAUGGACCUGCGUUGUAUUAGCUAGUUGGUGGGGUAACGGCUCACCAAGGCGACGAUACAUAGCCGACCUGAGAGGGUGAUCGGCCACACUGGGACUGAGACACGGCCCAGACUCCUACGGGAGGCAGCAGUAGGGAAUCUUCGGCAAUGGACGGAAGUCUGACCGAGCAACGCCGCGUGAGUGAAGAAGGUUUUCGGAUCGUAAAGCUCUGUUGUAAGAGAAGAACGAGUGUGAGAGUGGAAAGUUCACACUGUGACGGUAUCUUACCAGAAAGGGACGGCUAACUACGUGCCAGCAGCCGCGGUAAUACGUAGGUCCCGAGCGUUGUCCGGAUUUAUUGGGCGUAAAGCGAGCGCAGGCGGUUAGAUAAGUCUGAAGUUAAAGGCUGAGGCUUAACCAUAGUACGCUUUGGAAACUGUUUAACUUGAGUGCAAGAGGGGAGAGUGGAAUUCCAUGUGUAGCGGUGAAAUGCGUAGAUAUAUGGAGGAACACCGGUGGCGAAAGCGGCUCUCUGGCUUAUAACUGACGCUGAGGCUCGAAAGCGUGUGGAGCAAACAGGAUUAGAUACCCUGGUAGUCCACGCCGUAAACGAUGAGUGCUAGGUGUUAGACCCUUUCCGGGGUUUAGUGCCGCAGCUAACGCAUUAAGCACUCCGCCUGGGGAGUACGACCGCAAGGUUGAAACUCAAAGGAAUUGACCGGGGGCCCGCACAA
rnacentral:rRNA from 1 species